UCAAGACUAAGCCAUGCAUGUCUAAGUAUAAACGCUUCUAUACUGUGAAACUGCGAAUGGCUCAUUAAAUCAGUUAUAGUUUAUUUGAUGGUUCCUUACUACUUGGAUAACCGUAGUAAUUCUAGAGCUAAUACAUGCAGAAAGUCCCGACUUCUUGGAAGGGAUGUAUUUAUUAGAUCCAAAACCAGCGCGAGUUUCCUUCGGGGGCUCGGUUGCAUGGUGAUUCAUGAUAACUGCUCGAAUCGCAUGGCCUUGCGCCGGCGAUGAUCCAUUCAAAUUUCUGCCCUAUCAACUUUCGAUGGCAAGGUAGUGGCUUGCCAUGGUGACAACGGGUGACGGAGAAUUAGGGUUCGAUUCCGGAGAGGGAGCCUGAGAAACGGCUACCACAUCCAAGGAAGGCAGCAGGCGCGCAAAUUACCCAAUCCCGACUCGGGGAGGUAGUGACAAUAAAUAACAAUGCUGGGCUAUCGUAGUCUGGCAAUUGGAAUGAGUACAAUCUAAACCCCUUAACGAGGAACAAUUGGAGGGCAAGUCUGGUGCCAGCAGCCGCGGUAAUUCCAGCUCCAAUAGCGUAUAUUAAAGUUGUUGCAGUUAAAAAGCUCGUAGUUGGAUUUCGGGGCAGCCCGGCUGGUCCGUCGCGAGGCGAGUACUGGUCGGCCGCCCUUCCUCUCGAAAGCCCCGACUGCUCUUCACUGCAGUGGUCGGGGAGUUCGGGACGUUUACUUUGAAAAAAUUAGAGUGUUCAAGGCAGGCCAUCGCCUGAAUACAUUAGCAUGGAAUAAUGGAAGAGGACCUCGGUCCUAUUUUGUUGGUUUCUAGGGCCGAAGUAAUGAUUAAGAGGGACAGUUGGGGGCAUUCGUAUUUAAUUGUCAGAGGUGAAAUUCUCGGAUUUAUGAAAGACGAACAACUGCGAAAGCAUUUGCCAAGGAUGUUUUCAUUAAUCAAGAACGAAAGUUAGGGGUUC
rnacentral:rRNA from 1 species